GUCGACUUUAUGGUGAGAGCUUGGUCAGAGGCCCAAUCCCAAUCGGAGGUCAAUCGGAAAAAAGGUUAUAAGAAAACUCCUCCAUUUUAAAUCGCUAUACUGAACGACUCUUCCAAAUCACCGACUCCUCCAUUUCACUCUCCCAAUCCCAAUCGGAGGUCAUUCGAUUUUAAUCCCUCGGUUGGAGUCGACGAUUGAAGGCAUAAAGAACGUUUUGGGUUCUUAAUCGCUACUUUCCAAUCGAAAAUUGGGAGUUCAGUCGGACGCCGCCACUACUAGCUCCAAGGGUCGUAGAUCUGACUCCAGAUUUCUUCAUUGGUAUAUUCGACAUGAGAAUCGAGAACCUUUGGCUUGAGUGACACACUGAAGAAGUCCACCAUUCAUAUUUCUUGUGCAGUGGUAAUCUGGAGAGACCAACUGCAUAUGAUUAUUUAUUGAAUCAAUUUCAAUUUCAAGUUUUUCUUUAAGAGAUAUACAAACAUACAGGCAACUCCCAAUGGUUUAUUUGGGCUUGGAAUGGAGAAGAUAUCAGUACCUAGAAUUUUAUCGAGGGAAGACUUUAUAGCAAAUUCUUUUUCCUGCAUCUCUUUUAUAUUAUUUAUAAUGUGUGGCUUAAUGCUCUAGGCUUGUGCCCGAUAAGAAUUUAAAUUCUGCUUGGUGAUUGGACUAAUGGGAUACUGUGUAGCUUU